UAAGAGGGAACCCGGUGGGAAUCCGGGACUGCCCCGCAGCGGUGAGCGGGAACGACCGCCGUCAUACGCACUGGGACCGGACAACGGUCCUGGGAAGCGACGGCCAGUAGGUGCCCGCCGGGAGACCGGCAGGCGUGCCCGCGAGUCCGAAGACCU
rnacentral:ncRNA from 1 species